AAAAAAGCUGCCUUUUCUGAGUGGGGUUGCUGAGUUGGCAGAUCCUGGGAGCCUGUCUGAGGAACAAUGCCAGGAGAGUCAGGCAGAGCUGUGAGGUGGGAAGACAGACCAAGAGCCCUACAGCUGGUCUCAGCAGCAAGUGGCGCACAACGUGAGGCACGAAGGAAGGGUCGCCAAAGAAUGACAGUGGAGUUUCAGCGGUGCGGAACCUGGAAGCGGUGUGAGGCCUCAGAAAAUUCCCCGUGUGGACAUCUUAAGCCAUAUCAUGAGCACCCCGCCAAGAAAACGUCGAUUCGCGUGGGACGUCGAACCACCGGUGAUGAGUUUUCAGGGUCUAAGCCUGAAGACUACCAAAACCACAUUCCUGCUGCCUCAGACGCAUCGUGCAUCAAUUCCAACCUGGGCACAAAUAGAUUGACUCAACAAACAGAGAGGGUGUUAGAACAAGAGAAGAAACCUGUCACUCCAUAUAACUUGGCUCUGGUGAUGUUCGCCCUUGGUGUUAGUGGCCAUAAGUAUACCCAGGGCCAUAGCCCAGUCGAAUAACAGUACUUACACAUAUUGGGCUUAUAUUCCUAAUCCCCCAUUGAUCAGAGAAUUGAACUGGGGAGAAAAUUCUGUCCCUGUAUAUCUUAAUGAUUCAUCCUGGGUCUCGGGGCCCGAGGAUGUCUGUCUACCUAUAUUUGAAACGGAAGAAGCCACCUCGUAUGAAAUAAGUGAUUUUGGUUUCAACCCUUGGGCUGUUUGCAUAGGAAGAGGAAGAGGUUGUUUAAAUUUCACUACACAGGCUUGGCUAUCUACUUACAUGCUCGAUAGAAAUCAUAGCAAAGCACAAUUGCAUAUGUUAUCGGGCUACAGUUUCCACUAUU
rnacentral:lncRNA from 1 species